rnacentral:rRNA from 1 species
UACGUAGGGGGCGAGCGUUGUCCGGAUUCAUUGGGCGUAAAGAGCUCGUAGGCGGUUCAGUAAGUCGGGUGUGAAAUCUCCGUGCUCAACACGGAGCGGCCACCUGAUACUGCUGUGACUCGAGUCCGGUAGGGGAGUGUGGAAUUCCCGGUGUAGCGGUGAAAUGCGCAGAUAUCGGGAGGAACACCGGUGGCGAAGGCGGGUCUCUGGGCCGUUACUGACGCUGAGGAGCGAAAGCGUGGGGAGCGAACAGG